AAUGCUCUAUAGUCCGGGAGGACUGGAAUGUUCUCCGGAUGAAAGAUCCGUCGCUUCAGGAUGAGUCUGCGGCCGAUUAGGUAGUUGUUGGGGUAAAAGCCCAACAAGCCUGUAAUCGGUACGGGUUGUGGGAGCAAGAGCCCGGAGAUGGAUUCUGAGACACGAAUCCAGGCCCUACGGGGCGCAGCAGGCGCGAAAACUUUACAAUGCGGGCAACCGUGAUAAGGAAACCCCGAGUGCCAGCACAGGCUGGCUGUCCACCAGUGUAAACAACUGGUGAAGAAAGGGCCGGGCAAGACCGGUGCCAGCCGCCGCGGUAAUACCGGCGGCUCGAGUGGUGGCCGCUUUUACUGGGCUUAAAGGGUCCGUAGCUUGAUCCAUGGGUCCCUUGAGAAAUCCAUCAGCUUAACUGCUGGGCGUUCAGGGGAAACUGUGGUUCUAGGGACCGGGAGAGGUAAGAGGUACUGCCGGGGUAGGAGUGAAAUCCUGUAAUCCCGGUGGGACGACCUAUAGCGAAGGCAUCUUACCAGAACGGCUCCGACAGUGAGGGACGAAAGCUGGGGGAGCAAACCGG
rnacentral:rRNA from 1 species